GGCGAUGUGGCCUAAUGGAUAAGGCGUUAGACUUCGAAUCUAAAGAUUGUGGGUUCGAGUCCCAUCCUCGUCA